rnacentral:rRNA from 1 species
AUUGAACGCUGGCGGCAUGCUUUACACAUGCAAGUCGAACGGCAGCGCGGGCUUCGGCCUGGCGGCGAGUGGCGAACGGGUGAGUAAUGCAUCGGAACGUGCCCAGUAGUGGGGGAUAGCCCGGCGAAAGCCGGAUUAAUACCGCAUACGACCUGAGGGUGAAAGCGGGGGACCGAAAGGCCUCGCGCUAUUGGAGCGGCCGAUGUCGGAUUAGCUAGUUGGUUGGGUAAAGGCUUACCAAGGCGACGAUCCGUAGCUGGUCUGAGAGGACGACCAGCCACACUGGGACUGAGACACGGCCCAGACUCCUACGGGAGGCAGCAGUGGGGAAUUUUGGACAAUGGGGGCAACCCUGAUCCAGCCAUGCCGCGUGCGGGAAGAAGGCCUUCGGGUUGUAAACCGCUUUUGUUCGGGAAGAAAUACUCUGGGCUAAUACCCCGGGGGGAUGACGGUACCGGAAGAAUAAGCACCGGCUAACUACGUG